GUCCUCGCUUCAGCAGCACAUCUACUAAAAUUGGAACAAUACAGAGAAGAUGAGCAUGGCCCCUGCACAAGGAUGCUGUGCAAAUUCAUGAGAUGUUCCUGAUUUUU
ensembl:snRNA U6 U6 spliceosomal RNA